AUUCCGUAGGUGAACCUGCGGAAGGAUCAUUAAAGAGUAAGGGUCUUCGGGCCCGAUCUCCAACCCUUUGUUUAACUACCAUGUUGCUUUGGCGGGCCCGUCUCACGACCGCCGGAAGUUUGGCUUCGACCAAACUUCUGGCCCGUGCCCGUCAGUGGCCCCUUCAAAUUCUUGAUCAAGUAUGAUGUCUUAGUUAAAAACUUAAUAGUUAAAACUUUCAACAACGGAUCUCUUGGUUCUG
rnacentral:misc_RNA from 1 species